rnacentral:lncRNA from 12 species
GAUGCUGCAGGGACUGAAGUCAAUAGGAGAAUAGGAAAACUUGGGAGUCUAGCAAAAUGGGUUCCUCUUCGAAAGUCGCAUGGUUCUGUUGCUGUUGCUUUCAGCAGAAGGUGCAUCAGGAGAGGGAAAGGCAUCUCACAUGCUGUGGCCUUCCUUUACCCAGGACUUAAGUCCUUUAUCACCGAGCUCAGAGAUGGAGGGUGGCAAGAAGACCAGGAAGGCGCUGGCGGUGGCCAACAUUCCCCUGCUCUCUGCAGAACAGGAACGAUUCCAGGCUGUGGAUUUCUUUCUAAGGAGCUUGAGCAUGUGAGAUGCUGGGAGACCAGCCCAUGGAUUAGCAGAUACCCCAUCAAGCAAAGCAAGAAUUCAGAAGAAGGGAGAGUGGCCAAGGUGAGAGACCAGAGGGUGAGCCUGGCAGCAGGGUUAGGGAGACCCCAGGACACGGGCUGGAACCAGCUUGGCCGCCCAGUACCAGGACAACUGGACCCUGGGAGGUGGGAUCUGGAUCACUUAUGCCAAGUCUGCAAGACUGUUCCAAUCUUAAGCCUCUCCUAAUGUUCUUUUUCUGCCACCUUCCAUCAUAAUGAGUUAAAAAGGUCUCCUCCAAACCAGGCAUGAUAAAAGAGGAUACCCACCAAGUGGAGGGUACUUUGGGGAGAAAUAAGGCCAGAACAGAUAGACCCAGGGAGAAGCUGCCAUAGUCCUCAGGGGAGUGACGUAGUCCAGAGGAAAGAAGGAAACAGAUCUGGUCAGAGGGCAGCAGAUGGUCAGUGGGGCUUGGUGGUAUUUCUCACUAAGUUCUUAGUGGAAUGGAAAUUAGUGAGAAAUGUGUAUGAAGUCACACCACCUAAGUGGCAGAGCCACAUCUAACCCUGGACCGGGUUCAGAAGAUGAUGUUUCUGAGGCAGGUGUGGCAGUCCACUGUGAUGGCCCAGACAUAGAAAGCAGGAGCAGAGGAGCAGAAAUGUCACCUCACAUUUCACCCUUCUCCUGCUGCACUUUCCAGCCCAGGCCACUUUCCUGCUCUCACGCAUGACUGGCAUGUCUCCUGGGGCUGGCCCAAAGCCCUAGGGCUGGGCUUCUGGGCUCCUCCCUGACUGGUGCCCUCAUCUCUGGGACUCAGUUUCCUCUUCCACCCAGUGGGCUAAUGCCUCCUCCCACUCUGUUGGGGCUACAGUUGUGCAGUAAAGGGAGCCAGGAUUGGCCCAGCACCGAGGUGUCAGGCUCAGCAUCUGUGACCAUCUGUUCUGUGCCUUUAGGUGAUGUUGGGUUUUACCAAACUGAGGGCAUUACAGGAGCCAGCACAAAGGAGGACCUCCAUCAAUAAGUUUGUCACAUGAACACAUUAGUUAAUGGGUUUGAAUUCUUGCUUUGACAUUUAAUACCUGCAUGACUUCCAGCAAGGACACAGAGUCAUUCACUCCCUGGAUUUCGAGUGAAAAAUCACAGUGAAACAGACCCAGAUUCAGCAAAGGAGCUGGGCACUGAAGAACAGAAAUACUUUUGAAAAUACCAUCAGGGACGUGGGGUACUUGUGCAACCACACAGGGCCUUACACACUUGCUUUAAAUCUCUGUGAUCACCAUCUCGAGAUUCCUAAUAAUUUUAUCUUUAACUUGCAAGUGGCGUCCGCCAGGACAGCAGAGUACAGGCAUGAGAAUCCAGAAUAUGCGGGCUGUGUGCGCCCGAUGAUUCUUGCCGCCUCGCUUGGAUAGAGCAUCAGUGGUGUGGUGCCCGGUGGGCUCAGAUUCCCAGCCUAGGCUGGGGUGAGUUCAGCAGGACUCAAGGUGAGGGUAAGGCCAGAGUGUCACCUCUACAACUGAGUAAGGAGUGGAGGGUACUGACAGCCCUGAAAGGCCAGGCUUCCCAUUUUAACCAGGACAUUCAGCAAGUGCAGAAAGGAGUCAGGGGUUGUCUGAGACAUAUACCUGAUCAAGGAAGCUUACCAGAUCCUUCCUUUUGUGUCACUUCCCUAUAUUAGCCAACCACUCACCCUGGAAAUGGUGCAGGAGGAAAGGAAAAAAUAAAACAACUCAUGGUUCCCCUCCUUGCA